UUCACGAUUAGUUUAUAUUUUUUCGGAGUUAAAUCUGGACUUCACCGUACAACAUUCUAUUGUUACCGUAGCCUCGCAUCCGUCUUUUGCAAAUCAACCUUGCCACGUCACAUCACUGUACAAAGGACUGUCGGAGGAUGCAUUCUUAAUCUCAAUUUGUGGCUAACCACAGCUUAUUUACCAUUUUUGGAUUGGUGAUAGAAUAAAAGUCAGCACCUGAU